rnacentral:rRNA from 1 species
AGGGUUUGAUCAUGGCUCAGAACGAACGCUGGUGGCGUGCUUAACACAUGCAAGUCGAACGAGAAAGCUCUUCGGAGUGAGUAUAGUGGCGCACGGGUGAGUAAUGAAUAGGAACGUACCUUUUGGUGGGGAAUAACCUCGGGAAACCGGGGCUAAUACCGCAUAAGAUCGCAAGAUGAAAGAAGGCCUCUACUUGUAAGCUUUCGCCAAUAGAUCGGCCUAUUUCCCAUUAGCUUGUUGGUGGGGUAAAGGCCUACCAAGGCAACGAUGGGUAGCUGGUCUGAGAGGAUGAUCAGCCACACUGGAACUGAGACACGGUCCAGACUCCUACGGGAGGCAGCAGUGGGGAAUCUUGCACAAUGGGCGCAAGCCUGAUGCAGCAACGCCACGUGAGUGAAGAAGGCUCUUGGGUCGUAAAGCUCUUUCGGCUAGGAAGAAGGGAAGAGAGAUUAAUACUCUCACUUUUUGACGGUACUAGAAGAAGAAGCACUGGCUAAUUUCGUGCCAGCAGCCGCGGUAAUACGGAAGGUGCAAGCGUUGUUCGGAAUGACUGGGCGUAAAGAGCACGUAGGCGGGUUUGUAAGUCGGUUGUGAAAGCCCCGGGCUUAACCUGGGAACUGCAGCCGAAACUACAAGCCUUGAAUGUCUGA